UUUUAAAUAUUAAUUGUGUUUUUUUAUUUUCUUGCAUAAUUAUCAUCAAGUAUAAGAUGAAAUUAAUAAUAACACUACAAUUUAUCACUAAACUCACACAUUAUAAUCAAGGUUCUGAAAGACGCUAUGCGCUAGUCUGGCCGUAAGUCAGGGCCUAACGCCUAGGCGGCUAAAUUAACUAAAUUUACUAUAUAAAAUAUGAAGAAACAUUGAAUAAUACAUUAUUUUUUUCAAAUAAGGAAUACAUAUGCAGAUAUGUAUAUAAAAUUUUAGACUUUCUAAAUUAGUUUUGUAUCAUUUUAGAAAAGCCCAUAUUGAUGGGCCUUUAUUCUCAUUAAUAAAAGUCAAGAAGGUCGGCCUUUUCAUUGUUGUUUUAAUAUAUUACUAGCAUUUGCUUAUAUAUUUUGUGUGUAAUGAACACAUUUUUUUAGAAAAUGAGAAGAAGAGGGAGAGAGAGAGAACGUGGGGGAGUGAGAGGUUUUUGUUUUUAGUUUUUUUUUUUUUUUUUUUUUUU
rnacentral:lncRNA from 1 species